rnacentral:rRNA from 1 species
ACAACGGAGAGUUUGAUCCUGGCUCAGGAUGAACGCUGGCGGCGUGCUUAACACAUGCAAGUCGAACGAACCNUCGGGUUAGUGGCGGACGGGUGAGUAACGCGUGAGAAUCUGCCCUCAGGAGGGGGAUAACGGCUGGAAACGGCCGCUAAUACCCCAUAUGCCGAGAGGUGAAAUGAAUUUCGCCUGAGGAUGAGCUCGCGUCUGAUUAGCUAGUUGGUGGGGUAAGAGCCUACCAAGGCGUCGAUCAGUAGCUGGUCUGAGAGGAUGAUCAGCCACACUGGGACUGAGACACGGCCCAGACUCCUACGGGAGGCAGCAGUGGGGAAUUUUCCGCAAUGGGCGAAAGCCUGACGGAGCAACGCCGCGUGAGGGAUGAAGGCCUCUGGGCUGUAAACCUCUUUUCUCAAGGAAGAAGAUCUGACGGUACUUGAGGAAUAAGCCACGGCUAAUUCCGUGCCAGCAGCCGCGGUAAUACGGGAGUGGCAAGCGUUAUCCGGAAUUAUUGGGCGUAAAGCGUCCGCAGGCGGCCUCGUAAGUCUGUUGUCAAAGCGUGGAGCUUAACUCCAUUUCGGCAAUGGAAACUGUGAGGCUUGAGUGUGGUAGGGGCAGAGGGAAUUCCCGGUGUAGCGGUGAAAUGCGUAGAUAUCGGGAAGAACACCAGUGGCGAAGGCGCUCUGCUGGGCCAUAACUGACGCUCAUGGACGAAAGCCAGGGGAGCGAAAGGGAUUAGAUACCCCUGUAGUCCUGGCCGUAAACGAUGAACACUAGGUGUCGGGGGAAUCGACCCCCUCGGUGUCGUAGCCAACGCGUUAAGUGUUCCGCCUGGGGAGUACGCACGCAAGUGUGAAACUCAAAGGAAUUGACGGGGGCCCGCACAAGCGGUGGAGUAUGUGGUUUAAUUCGAUGCAACGCGAAGAACCUUACCAGGGUUUGACAUCCUGCGAACCCCUGAGAAAUCGGGGGGUGCCUUCGGGAGCGCAGUGACAGGUGGUGCAUGGCUGUCGUCAGCUCGUGUCGUGAGAUGUUGGGUUAAGUCCCGCAACGAGCGCAACCCACGUCUUUAGUUGCCAGCAUUCAGUUGGGCACUCUAGAGAGACCGCCGGUGAUAAACCGGAGGAAGGUGUGGAUGACGUCAAGUCAUCAUGCCCCUUACAUCCUGGGCUACACACGUACUACAAUGCUACGGACAAAGGGCAGCAAACUCGCGAGAGCUAGCAAAUCCCAUAAACCGUGGCUCAGUUCAGAUCGUAGGCUGCAACUCGNCUACGUGAAGGAGGAAUCGCUAGUAAUCGCAGGUCAGCAUACUGCGGUGAAUACGUUCCCGGGCCUUGUACACACCGCCCGUCACACCAUGGAAGUUGGCCACGCCCGAAGCCGUUACUCCAACCCUUGUGGAGGAGGACGUCGAAGGUGGGGCUGAUGACUGGGGUGAAGUCGUAACAAGGUAGCCGUACCGGAAGGUGCGGCUGGAUCACCUCCUAA